AGGACGAACGCUGGCGGCGUGCUUAACACAUGCAAGUCGAGCGGAAAGGCCCUUCGGGGUACUCGAGCGGCGAACGGGUGAGUAACACGUGAGCAACCUGCCCUUGGCUCUGGGAUAGCCUCCGGAAACGGGGAUUAAUACCGGACAUUCACUGAUCCCUGCAUGGGGGAUGGUGGAAAGUUUUUUCGGCCAGGGAGGGGCUCGCGGCCUAUCAGCUUGUUGGCGGGUAACGGCCACCAAGGCGACGGCGGGUA
rnacentral:rRNA from 1 species